GACGAACGCUGGCGGCGUGCUUAACACAUGCAAGCCGUACGGUAAGGCCCUUUCGGGGGUACACGAGUGGCGAACGGGUGAGUAACACGUGAGUAACCUGCCCACAACUUUGGGAUAACGCUAGGAAACUGGUGCUAAUACUGGAUAUGUGCUCCUGCUGCAUGGUGGGGGUUGGAAAGCUCCGGCGGUUGUGGAUGGACUCGCGGCCUAUCCGCUUGUUGGUGGGGUAGUGGCCUACCAAGGCGGCGACGGGUAGCCGGCCUGAGAGGGUGACCGGCCACAUUGGGACUGAGAUACGGCCCAGACUCCUACGGGAGGCAGCAGUGGGGAAUAUUGCACAAUGGGCGCAAGCCUGAUGCAGCAACGCCGCGUGCGGGAUGACGGCCUUCGGGUUGUAAACCGCUUUCAGCAGGGACGAAGCUUUUUGUGACGGUACCUGCAGAAGAAGCACCGGCUAACUACGUG
rnacentral:rRNA from 1 species